AAAUGGAGCAAGAAGUGUUGUGAAAUGCAAUUGGUUUACCUCAGCAGCUGCAGAAAAUAAAUAGUUUCCUUAAACUUUACUUGAAGACUACACAUUGCUGAGGUUUGACAAAGGAGCGGCCAUUGUGAGAGAUUUUGUUGCUGAGGUCAAAGUGCUGACUCUGAGAUUUAGGCCCUGAUGCAUCACCUCAAAAGGCUUUCACAAAGAGGCUGAGAAGUAGGGAGGUAAUAUAAGCCAUCAGGAAGAAGAUACAGGAGCAUCAGAUCCCACACCACCAGGUUCAGGAAGAGUUAUGUCCUUCAACCUCCUGUACUAGAGGGGAUAACUACAGUCACUUCAUCACUAAAUGUUAUGGAGAUGAAAAGAGAAGACACUGGAGAGAAUCUGUUGGUGGAUACGACCUGGUGGGGAGAUCUUGAUUCGAUGGAGCCAGACAGCGAGAUCAGCUGAGGAUCGGUGAAUUGAGCUCCAACUGGUGCACAUUUCACUGUUUAAUUAUA